rnacentral:rRNA from 1 species
UGAGGAAUAUUGGUCAAUGGGCGGGAGCCUGAACCAGCCAAGUCGCGUGAGGGAAGACGGUCCUACGGAUUGUAAACCUCUUUUGCCGGGGAGCAACGGGGUCCUUGCGAGGGCCCGAUGAGAGUACCCGGAGAAAAAGCAUCGGCUAACUCCGUGCC